rnacentral:rRNA from 1 species
CAAAGGCCCCAAAGGAAGCCACGGCUAACUCUGUGCCAGCAGCCGCGGUAAUACAGAGGUGGCAAGCGUUGUUCGGUAUUAUUGGGCGUAAAGAGCACGUAGGUGGUUCUGUAAGUCAGAUGUGAAAGCCUUCUGUCCAAAGGAAGAACGGCAUCUGAAGCUACAGAUCUUGAGUGUAGGAGGGGAGAGUGGAACUUCUGGUGGAGCGGUGAAAUGCGUAGAUAUCAGAAGGAACGUCGGCGGCGAAGGCGACUCUCUGGCCUAUUACUGACACUGAGUGUGCGAAAGUUAGGGGAGCAAACGGGAUUAGAUACCCCGGUAGUCCUAUCUGUAAA